GAUGAAGAACGUAGCGAAAUGCGAUAAGUAGUGUGAAUUGCAGAAUUCAGUGAAUCAUCGAAUCUUUGAACGCACAUUGCGCUUCCUGGUAUUCCGGGGAGCAUGCCCGUUUCAGAAUCAUUAAAAAUCUCAUAAUACUUGCUUAUGCGACUAUUCUUGUAAUAAUCUGUAUGUCAAGUGUUGUGGAUUUUGGAUGAUUUGUCAUUUGACAAUCAUUUAAAAUUGAUUGUAUGUGCUCCAAUUGCGUAUGUCUUUGGGUCUCUAAAGUGCAACAGAUUAUAUCUAUUCGCUUUGGUACUUAAAGGAUAUACUUUGGUGUAUGUAACCAAAAGUUAUUAUACAGAUUCUAUGUGCCUAUGUGCAUAGCUUCUGAUAACUUGGUCUGAAAUCGGGCAAGAAAACCCGCUGAACUUAAGCAUAUCAAUAAGCGGAGGA
rnacentral:misc_RNA from 1 species